rnacentral:rRNA from 1 species
AUUGAACGCUGGCGGCAUGCUUUACACAUGCAAGUCGAACGGCAGCACGGACUUCGGUCUGGUGGCGAGUGGCGAACGGGUGAGUAAUACAUCGGAACGUGCCCAGUUGUGGGGGAUAACUACUCGAAAGAGUAGCUAAUAACGCAUGAGAACUGAGGUUGAAAGCAGGGGAUCGUAAGACCUUGCGCAACUGGAGCGGCCGAUGGCAGAUUAGGUAGUUGGUGGGAUAAAAGCUUACCAAGCCGACGAUCCGUAGCUGGUCUGAGAGGACGACCAGCCACACUGGGACUGAGACACGGCCCAGACUCCUACGGGAGGCAGCAGUGGGGAAUUUUGGACAAUGGGCGAAAGCCUGAUCCAGCAAUGCCGCGUGCAGGAUGAAGGCCUUCGGGUUGUAAACUGCUUUUGUACGGAACGAAAAGCUUCGGGCUAAUACCCUGGAGUCAUGACGGUACCGUAAGAAUAAGCACCGGCUAACUACGUGCCAGCCGCCGCGGUAAGAC